UUGAUUGGUGCUUGCAUCAUGAUUUACAUUUGAGUGAGUGGCGAACUGGUGAGUAACACGUGGGAAACCUGCCCAGAAGCGGGGGAUAACACCUGGAAACAGAUGCUAAUACCGCAUAACAACUUGGACCGCAUGGUCCGAGUUUGAAAGAUGGCUUCGGCUAUCACUUUUGGAUGGUCCCGCGGCGUAUUAGCUAGAUGGUGGGGUAACGGCUCACCAUGGCAAUGAUACGUAGCCGACCUGAGAGGGUAAUCGGCCACAUUGGGACUGAGACACGGCCCAAACUCCUACGGGAGGCAGCAGUAGGGAAUCUUCCACAAUGGACGAAAGUCUGAUGGAGCAACGCCGCGUGAGUGAAGAAGGGUUUCGGCUCGUAAAACUCUGUUGUUAAAGAAGAACAUAUCUGAGAGUAACUGUUCAGGUAUUGACGGUAUUUAACCAGAAAGCCACGGCUAACUACGUGCCAGCAGCCGCGGUAAUACGUAGGUGGCAAGCGUUGUCCGGAUUUAUUGGGCGUAAAGCGAGCGCAGGCGGUUUUUUAAGUCUGAUGUGAAAGCCUUCGGCUC
rnacentral:rRNA from 2 species